GUAGUCCAUCACUUCUACAUCUAUUUUAAAACUUUAUAAAGCUUUUACUAUAUUUUUAUAAAAAUCUAAAUGAUUAUUAUAUUCAUAAAGAUUUACAACUUUUGAAUAUAUUUUUGAACCAGCAUUUAUAAUUUCUUGUCUCUCUUGAGACAUAAACUAAAUUUUCUUCUAACACACACAUACACACACACAUUCAAUCUAUUUUCCCAUCCUAAUACAUACCAUCAAUGUUGUCACAUAGAUUUUGUAAUCUAAAUUUAUUAUCCUAAAUUAUGAGAGAUAUUACAUAUGCUAAAUAUCCCAUGAAUCUAACGAAUUAUUAGAAACAUAGAACAAUGAAUAAAUUAUCAGAACUUCUAAUAAUUUCAUAAAGCAUAGAAACCAAUAAGUUAUCACAUUCUUGCUAUAGGCAAAGAGGAUUUUUCUAUAAAAGAUUUUAACCAUUUGAUCUGAUCAAUGAUUCAAAAAUGUGGAGAAAUAAUAAAUUAAAUUGAAUGUCACGAUAUUU
rnacentral:lncRNA from 1 species